CCCUCACCUCUGACCUGGUGCCGGAUCAGGACGUGAUCGAUGUUAUCAUACAUGUGGGCCGCAAUCCUCUGGGAAGACAUUUAGCAUGGAGAUAUUUCUGCGAGAAGUGGGACAUCUUGAAUUCCAGGUAUGGAGAAGCCUUAUUUAUGAACUCAAAAUUAAUCAGCGGCGUGACAGAGUUUCUCAACACUGAGGCUGAGUUGAAUGAGCUGAAAGAGUUCAUCCUCACCAGCGGGGGAGAGUCAGCACCUGCGUUUGCUCGAGCUGUUGAGAUCGUUCAAACUAAUGUAAAAUGGCACAUCCUGUUCCAACAACAGUUUUACCGGUGGCUGCGGAAAGCUCCCGAUGGUUAGCCUCUAUUAGCAUGGAAACCCUAUCAGACAUUUCCAGGCCAUACACAUGAGGACACUUACGUGCUAUUAAAAAUGAAACAUUUAUGGACUCUGAGAAGCAGCAGAAUUGAACUCCUAUUUCCCUGCUGUUCAUGAAACAACCAGGCACCGGCUGACCAAGACAAAUUCCCAGAGAACAGCGCCACCCUGCUGGCCAGCACAGUCACUGCACCAGAGACAAUAUAAAGGGGAGGAGAUGGACAACUUGUAGAAAAUUCAUUGAAGAAAUUGCAA